rnacentral:rRNA from 1 species
GACGAACGCUGGCGGCGUGCCUAAUACAUGCAAGUAGAACGCUGAAGGAGGAGCUUGCUUCUCUGGAUGAGUUGCGAACGGGUGAGUAACGCGUAGGUAACCUGCCUGGUAGCGGGGGAUAACUAUUGGAAACGAUAGCUAAUACCGCAUAAGAGUAGAUGUCGCAUGACAUUUGCUUAAAAGGUGCAAUUGCAUCACUACCAGAUGGACCUGCGUUGCAUUAGCUAGUUGGUGAGGUAACGGCUCACCAAGGCAACGAUACAUAGCCGACCUGAGAGGGUGAUCGGCCACACUGGGACUGAGACACGGCCCAGACUCCUACGGGAGGCAGCAGUAGGGAAUCUUCGGCAAUGGACGGAAGUCUGACCGAGCAACGCCGCGUGAGUGAAGAAGGUUUUCGGAUCGUAAAGCUCUGUUGUAAGAGAAGAACGGGUGUGAGAGUGGAAAGUUCACACUGUGACGGUAUCUUACCAGAAAGGGACGGCUAACUACGUG